rnacentral:rRNA from 1 species
AUUGAACGCUGGCGGCAUGCCUUACACAUGCAAGUCGAACGGCAGCACGGGAGCAAUCCUGGUGGCGAGUGGCGAACGGGUGAGUAAUAUAUCGGAACGUGCCCAGUCGUGGGGAUAACGUAGCGAAAGCUACGCUAAUACCGCAUACGAUCUAUGGAUGAAAGCGGGGGAUCGCAAGACCUCGCGCGAUUGGAGCGGCCGAUAUCAGAUUAGGUAGUUGGUGAGGUAAAGGCUCACCAAGCCGACGAUCUGUAGCUGGUCUGAGAGGACGACCAGCCACACUGGGACUGAGACACGGCCCAGACUCCUACGGAGGCAGCAGUGGGGAAUUUUGGACAAUGGGCGCAAGCCUGAUCCAGCAAUGCCGCGUGCAGGAUGAAGGCCUUAGGGUUGUAAAGCUCUUUCAGAUGGGAAGAUAAUGACGGUACCAGUCAGAAGAANACCCCGGCUAACUCCGUGCCAGCAGCCGACGG